rnacentral:rRNA from 1 species
UACAGAGGUCCCAAGCGUUGUUCGGAUUCACUGGGCGUAAAGGGUGCGUAGGCGGUCGGGUAAGUCUGAUGUGAAAUCUCCAAGCCUAACUUGGAAACUGCAUUGGAUACUAUCCGGCUCGAGGAAUGGAGGGGAGACUGGAAUACUUGGUGUAGCAGUGAAAUGCGUAGAUAUCAAGUGGAACACCAGUGGCGAAGGCGAGUCCCUGGACAACACCUGACACUGAGGCACGAAAGCUAGGGGAGCAAACAGG